GACGAACGCUGGCGGCGUGCCUAAUACAUGCAAGUUGAGCGCUGAAGGUUGGUACUUGUACCAACUGGAUGAGCAGCGAACGGGUGAGUAACGCGUGGGGAAUCUGCCUUUGAGCGGGGGACAACAUUUGGAAACGAAUGCUAAUACCGCAUAAAAACUUUAAACACAAGUUUUAAGUUUGAAAGAUGCAAUUGCAUCACUCAAAGAUGAUCCCGCGUUGUAUUAGCUAGUUGGUGAGGUAAAGGCUCACCAAGGCGAUGAUACAUAGCCGGACUGAGAGGGUGAUCGGGCAAAAUGGGACUGGGAAACGGCCCCAAAUCCUACGGGGGGCAGCAGUAGGGGAUCUUCGGCAAUGGAGGGAAGUCUGACCGAGCAACGCCGGGGGAGGGAAGAAGGUUUUCGGAUCGGAAAACUCUGUUGGUAGAGAAGAACGAUGUGUAGAGUGAAAAGCGCAUCAAGUGACGGUAACUACCCAGAAAGGGACGGCUAACUACGUG
rnacentral:rRNA from 1 species